AUACGGAGGGGGUUAGCGUUGUUCGGAAUUACUGGGCGUAAAGCGCACGUAGGCGGAUUGGAAAGUUGGGGGUGAAAUCCCAGGGCUCAACCCUGGAACUGCCUCCAAAACUAACAGUCUAGAGUUCGAGAGAGGUGAGUGGAAUUCCAAGUGUAGAGGUGAAAUUCGUAGAUAUUUGGAGGAACACCAGUGGCGAAGGCGGCUCACUGGCUCGAUACUGACGCUGAGGUGCGAAAGCGUGGGGUGCAAACAGGAUUAGAAACCCUAGUAGUCC
rnacentral:rRNA from 1 species